UCCCUGUACCAGGGUGUUUAUAAAUCAAAAUCCUAAUUUGGGAUGAACCCUUAUUUUCCAAUUGAUUCAUAAUAGAAACUGAAAUUAAACCUUAUACAUAAUCCAAGCUUCAAUUUAAAGAAAACCCAUCACCAAUUCAACAAUCUAUAAAUCAGUUUCACACAAAAACAGAGUUAAUUAGAGAAACCCUAACUUCAACUUACCUUUCUGUUAAAAUCUCCACCUUAAAAAACUCUUGUAUGUUCUUAGAACUUCCUCCUUUAGAUGCUGCACGAAAAAGAAACAAGAAAUUAAAAGUUAGCAAGAUUGUAAUAGAAAAGAGAUGGAGUAGAUGAUAACAGAGAAGAGAUGCAGAAACUUUUGUUGGUUAUUAUGUAUAGAGCUUGGACAGGUAUUUGAUUGACUGGCAAGGACACCAAAAGAUAGAUAAGGAACAAUUCAAUAAUGCCAGAAGUGCGUGUAAAACAUCUAUGAUGAAGAGGGAAGGGAAUAAAAGCGUUACCUGUCUUUGAUUGAUAGUUCACUGUGUGUACUACUUAUCUACUGUCGAGAAAGAGGAAAUCAAUGCCUAAUGAUGUGCGUGCUGCAACUGCGAAACCAUCCCUAAACUGUACUGAGUUAGUAGUUUUACUUUAUAUUGUUAUGUUUCUUUUAGAAGCACCUUGGGUUGGAACUAUAUAUACUAACCUAACCUUAGUUUAGGCAAUUCAGAAUUCUUAUUAAGGUUAGAAUAGUUCCUAAUAUAUCAAAUAUGAUGCUUAACUAUGGAUAAUAUGUUAAAGUUUUCAUAGGAAAAUGGGGCAGAGAUUGCGAUACUUUUUUUUCUUUGAGGUUACAGACAUGUUCACAGUAUUUACUUACCAAUUUUUCUACCCAACUAUGAACCCCAUGCAUACAACACUUGAAUAUUAUAUAUGUAUACUUUGUUGGUUAUUUUCUUGCCAGUGCCAACAAAAAAUUAUUCAGAACAUGUUCUUCAUCAUUUCUUUUAGUCUGUAAUCUAAUUAUCGUAUCAGGAAUCAGGAUUAUGCUUUCAGUUAUAAGAUCUAAUGACAACUUCCCCAAGGAAGUAGAUGUUGAAGUUUCUCAAGUCUCUAUUUACCCGGUUUACUGUUGGAAAUAGCUGAAAAUAGUUCCAAAGAGAAUGAAGAAGAAGCGAAAGAUGGCGAGGAAACCAAAGACGGGGACAGUGAAGGAGACAACUUCAAGUGGGAAGUUCUCAAUGGAUCAAGUCUUUUAUUGGACGACGACCAAAGGGAGGAGUCCUAUGUGAUGAAAAAUAACCAAAGUUGUUCGUCACAAACUUUGUGCGGAGAAACUAAAAUUGAAUUUUUGAUUCACUAAUUAAGAUUAAAUUUGAGACAAUCAUACAAGUUGAUCGGAAAUUUUGAUCAAUGACAGUCAAAUAAACAAAUUACAUGUUCAUACUUCUCCAAAAUAUCCAAAAUAUCCAAUAACUCGAUCAUAAUGAAUCAAUUUCUUCUUCAAAUAAUUCAAAAAAAAAAAAAAAAAAACUCUACUGAUUUUGUAAACUUCAUCCAACUAAACCUUUUAUACUACAACCCGUUGAUUUGUAGCUUGAAAAAUAGUAAAAUUCUAUCGAUUGAAGUAGUAAACACCCUAAUGUAGAAUUGCGGUUGCAGAGAAUCUAGUGAAGAAUUUCAAAUCUGUAAAAAGAACAAAAAACAGAGUAAACAGAAAGCUAACAGAGAUUUCGCGCCGAUAUCGAGUUGGCCGCGGGUGAUGAAGACGGAGUGACGGGUCGCCUAAACUUUCGUGCCCCCACCGUUUCACCCCCAUAGUUCACCUUACAAACUUUUUUUUUUCUGAAUUUUGAUAAUAACUCCAAAAUUUACUUCCAUUUUAAUCACAAAGACCAGCAAAUGUUAAAGUAAUUGAAUCUCUUAAUUGACUCAAUUUCAAUCGGAACUCACAUUUGCAAAUAAUUUUCGCUGCUGCAAAAAAAAAAAAAAAAAGAGAGAAAAAAGAAGAAGAAGCAAGAACAGUAUAUUCUCAUUGUUCUUGCUUAAGGAUGACUUUCUAUCUUUUUCCCUCCGAAAGCAAUCUUAAUCAUAUCAACAAUCAAAAUUACAAACCCAUUUUUUCAAAUCGAAAAAAAAAACUUACCCAUGUCAAGAUUUAAUAAAAAAAAUGGAUGACCAAACAUUCAUGAUUC